AUUGAACGCUGGCGGCAGGCUUAACACAUGCAAGUCGAGCGGGGUGAUGGUGCUUGCACUAUCACUUAGCGGCGGACGGGUGAGUAAUGCUUAGGAAUCUGCCUAUUAGUGGGGGACAGCAUCUCGAAAGGGAUGCUAAUACCGCAUACGUCCUACGGGAGAAAGCAGGGGAUCACUUGUGACCUUGCGCUAAUAGAUGAGCCUAAGUCGGAUUAGCUAGUUGGUGGGGUAAAGGCCUACCAAGGCGACGAUCUGUAGCGGGUCUGAGAGGAUGAUCCGCCACACUGGGACUGAGACACGGGCCAGACUCCUACGGGAGGCAGCAGUGGGGAAUAUUGGACAAUGGGGGGGACCCUGAUCCAGCCAUGCCGCGUGUGUGAAGAAGGCCUUAUGGUUGUAAAGCACUUUAAGCGAGGAGGAGGCUCUUUUGGUUAAUACCCAAGAUGAGUGGACGUUACUCGCAGAAUAAGCACCGGCUAACUCUGUGCCAGCCGCCGCAGUAA
rnacentral:rRNA from 1 species